rnacentral:misc_RNA from 1 species
GUUAUUCGUCGCUGGCGACGCUGCACGCGUUUCCGUUCGACAAGAUCAAGCUCGACCAAUCGUUCGUUCGUAAAAUUCCCGAAAACAUGUCUGCCGUCGCCAUUGUGCGGACCGUGCNNNACCGUGCUGGCGCUGGGCAAGAGCCUCGGAAUUCCCGUCCUUGCCGAGGGCAUCGAGACGGAGGAGCAGCUGCGUUUUCUCGCGCGCGAGGGCUGCGAUGAAGGGCA